AGAGGCUACUGCUAUCGGGGUUCGAUUAAGCCAUGCGAGUUAAAUGUUCUUCGUGAACAUAGCGAACUGCUCAGUAACACGUGGAUAACCUACCCUUAGGACCGGAAUAACCCCGGGAAACUGGGGAUAAUACCGGAUAAGCCAUAGACGCUGGAAUGCCCUAUGGUUCAAAGCUCCGGCGCCUAAGGAUGGAUCUGCGGUCUAUCAGGUUGUAGUGGGUGUAACGUACCUACUAGCCGACGACGGAUACGGGUUGUGAGAGCAAGAGCCCGGAGAUGGAUUCUGAGACACGAAUCCAGGCCCUACGGGGUGCAGCAGGCGCGAACACUUUACAAUGCGGGAAACCGCGAUAAGGGAACCCCGAGUGCCAGCAUCAAAUGUUGGCUGUCCAGAUGAUUAAAAAUCAUUUGUUAGCAAGGGCCGGGCAAGACCGGUGCCAGCCGCCGCGGUAACACCGGCGGCCCGAGUGGUAGCCGUUUUUAUUGGGUCUAAAGGGUCCGUAGCCGGCCUGAUAAGUCCUUUGGGUAAUCUGGCAGCUUAACUGUCAGGCUUCUAAGGGAUACUGUCAGGCUUGGGACCGGAAGAGGUAAGGGGUACUCCAGGGGUAGGAGUGAAAUCUUGUA
rnacentral:rRNA from 1 species